UUAACCCUUACUUUGAUAAAGUAAAAGAUCGCUUAUUAAAAAAUUACGACUUGGAUGAAUAGAAAUUAAAUAAAAUUUUAUUUUGUUGACUAAGAGAUUGUCAUAGAUAACGGAUCGAGAUGUAAUUCUCUCACUCUGGCUUACUUUUAAUUUUCGGCGCUGUCUUGUACUGGCUAAUUAGUUAUUGCAUGUUCUGUUGAACUGUUUUUAUGAUCGUGAUUAUAGUAUUUUUGAUAUACUAUUAUGAUCUAACAUCCUACAUGAAAAAAAUACAAUCUUCUAAAUGAGCAUAUAAAGCUCAUGGACAAGUUCGUUUUUAAGGGUGAGUUCUACUUAUGAGUGUUUAUGAAAUACCAUAAAUCAUAGUUAAACAUUGUUAUAUGAUCAUAUUUUAUUGAUCAUUUGUCCAUCGUUACCCCAACUAUAGGUACGAUAUGAAUGGGUUCUGCAAUCGAACCCUCAUUUUCACAUGCAAAUGUCAACUUACAUUUACAAUUAUUGACUCAGGACAUGACCAUCGCAUUAAAUUGUUGGACCAUGUGUGCAUGGAUUUUUUUUUGCUAUAAUUAGUAAAUAGUAAUGGUCAAUCAUAUUAGAAAAAAAUUAUAUACGAACUAAAAGACUAUUUGAAUUAUUUAAAUAUGCAAAAUUAUCAUUCUUAUGUCAAGAAGUUGAACGACUAUUAAUUUGGAAGCCAUCAAUGGUACUUCUAGAAAAAUUUUCGACAUAUUUUCCUUUCACACACACACAUAUACAUACAUAUAUACAUACACACACGCACACACACACUAGGAAUAAAUAAAAUCGGCUCAUUUUACUUGGACUUUUGUUGGCCCAUUAAUAGAGUGGACCAAUUUAGGAGUCCAAAAUAGGUCCAAAUGUCAUUUUAUGCUAUUGACACCCCUCCAUUAAUCUCUUAAAACCCCUUUUCUAAACAGACCCCAUAAAAUAAUUUAAAAUAUUACUUCUAUCAACACCCAAGCAAUUUCUAUGAAUAACCCUGUUCACUUUUGCCUAAAACUCUAUUUAUAUAUCAAAUCUCAAAUAUUACAUGAAUAAAACAAAUUCGUCUCCCUACUCAUUUUCUUUAGUGAGUAAAGCAAAUUUCACAUGAAUAAGGAGACAAAUUGAUAGAAAAAAGCUAUACUGGAAUACAAUUUUGAACUUGAAGCUUGAAGCUCAAUGAAUAAGGUUAUUUGAGAUUUGACAUAUAGAUGCAAUUUUGCACAUUUGAGUUUGAAGCUCACGUGAGUGAAACAAAUUUCAAAUAUGAGUUUGAUGAUUUGGAAAGUUCAUGGCGAUAAAAAAGAAAGCUCAACAUACUAUAUUGGUCGAAAAUAUUUGGGUGGUUUGAUAAGCAAACAAUAAUUUGUUGUAUUGAAUUAUAAACUUAAAAACUAUAUUGCACAUUUGUCAGUUCACAAGUUCGACAUAAAAGUUUUUUUAAUAUGAUAAUUUUGGGGUGAAUGUUCAUAGUAGAUCCUAGUCAUUUUGGAAAAAGUCUGACUAAUAAAUAGUGUGACAAAUGAUAAUAGUUAAUUUUAAGAAAUCACUUUGAAAUUAUAUUACUUGUCAAAACUAGAGACAUUAAGGUGUAAAAAGUUCAUUGGAAUGAGAACAUGAUUUGUAUUCUCUUUUUACACUAUUCUUUUAGUAGGGAUGGCAGGACAUACCCUUUUGAGAUUUUUCCUACUUGAAAAGGGUAUGAAAAUGAUUUUAUACCAAAUUUCUUAUUUAGAUAAGGGACAGAAACAACUUUUUAUCUAAUUUUUUAUUUAAGGAAAGGGAUGGGAAUGAGGUGGAAUCCCUAUCCCCUCCCCAU
rnacentral:lncRNA from 1 species